GUGCUUGCUUAGGCAGCACAGAGACAAAAGUUGGAAUGAUACAGAGAAGAUUAGCAUGGCUCCUGAGCAAGGAUGACAUGCAAAUUUGUGAAGAGUUCCAUAGCUUU